CAGCCCGCAAGUCGGCAGGCUCUGUGUCCUCCUGCCCGGGCCCCCGGAGCACAUCCAGCUACAGGAGGGUGCGCAGGACGAGGGGGGUCUCUGUCAGCCACCGCUGAGCCUCCCUGGCGGGACCCUGGGCACCACAGGCACCACGGAGCAGCAGAUGGCACAGGUGAAGAGGAGAAUAGAAGUGACUGAGGAGGGGAUGACGAAGGUCAUGGAUAUGCUGCAGGAGAUGCUCACCACCAUCUGCUCCCUGAAAACCACCGUCGAGGGCUUUGAGGAAGAGCUACAUCUCCUGAAAGACAGUUUCCACAAGGCUGGUCUGGAGGAGAUGCAAGAGCAGUCAGUGCAACAGGACGAGUAUAGCCACAUCCUGCAGAGCAUCCUGGACCAGCUGGUGGAGGUGCGUAAGGAGCUGUGCCAGAGCUCUCUCCGCAGAAUACCCACUGGUGAGGGCCUGGAUUUUGGCAGGGAGGUGCUGGGCCAGGUGAGACAACUGCGGAAGCAGUGCACGAGGCUGGAGGAAGCUGCGGAACAGCUGUGGGGUGACACCAAAGACACCCAGAAAGCAGACAAGGCUACACUGAAGACCAAAGUGAGCCAGGAGGAGCUGCAACAUGCCAUGGUCCAGCUGAGUGAGAUGAUGCAGGACCUGCUUCAGAGGAUGUCCCAGAUGGACCAGGACACACAGAAUGCCCUAGAGAAGCUCCUUAAUGAGAUGGACUCCAAGCUGGACCAUGUGGCACUGGCUCCCCUGCAGGCACAGUUGGAGCAGGUGAGAGGGCUCAUCCAGCAGUGCCUCUGCCAGGGACCCUGCAAUGCCAGCCGUGCUGCCGGCUUCAAGAGGCAGCUCUCUGGUCCACCGAAGUGCAUCUCCUGCAACAGACCCCUGGCCAUGGCCCCAGCACCGCCCUUGGUGACCAUCCAAAAGACCAACCAGCUUCUCCAGCGCCAGCCAGACAGAGCCUCCAGCUGCCUGGCACAGCAGCUGCCGGAGAGGUGAGGCUUGCCAGGCAUCGCUGUGUCCCUCCUUCUCCUGCUGGGGUUCCUCUUCCUGGGCAGGGAGCACCUACAUUUACUCUUCCUGAAUAGGGCCAGCCAGGGCCCUGGAAGUUCUGCCAGGCCACUGUCCACCUCCACCUCCCUCAUCACCGUCUGUCCCUGCAGACACCCAGCAGAGUUCAACUGCAAUAACGUAAGCUCCUUAUCCAUAUGUCCCUGUGCUCUGGAAACCCACUGAGCCCACCUGUACUGGCAUGGCGGGAGUGCUGCAGGCUGGGCACAGCCUUGGGGCACCUCCAACCUCAUCAGCUGCUCUUCCCUCUAGAGAGAAGUGGAUAUUUUGGGCGUAGAUGGGGUCAUCUACAAGGGCAGGCUGAACUCACCAGGUACCAACAGGACCACCACCAUGGGCAAGGACUUCCCACGCAGGGGAUCAGCGCUGGGACAUCGCACGAGCUCUGGCCAGGCUGUGCAGUCACAUGAAUGUCCCAUUGUCAGCGCCUGGGACGGUGCUGUGCCACUCCAUGGCAAAAGCAUCAGCAGCCUCUCAUCUCACUGUGCUAACAGUGUCUCUGCUUCUCACCUUGAAGCAGUGAAGAACCCACAGGCCCGCACCUGGCACACGACAGAGAAGACGGUCCGCAUCCCCAAGUAUGGCAGCCACUAUGUGUCCCCGUACUCACGUGAGUGCCCAUCUUGUGUGUCCCCUGGGCCCCAACCUGCUGCUGAGUGCUCCCUGAGAGGCUUGAGGGGUGUUGCUGGGGGUGCCAUGCCCCAUGCAAGGCUUUCUGCUUUGCAGGUGCUGCCAUGCAGAUGAAGACAAGCUCUUGGGGGGGCAGCUGCAGACUGCCAUGGGCAGCAGCAGGACUUCAGGUGUCAGAGCUGGCCAGGGGCUGUGAAAUUGUAUGGGGAUCUGGGGAGUGGAUGGGCAACACGAGGGCCUCAGGGAAUGGGUGGGGUGAGUGCCACACUGCCCUGGCAGCUGCUCCUUGUAUGGGGUA
rnacentral:lncRNA from 14 species